rnacentral:rRNA from 1 species
UUCGAGUGGCGGACGGGUGAGUAACGCGUGGGUAACCUGCCUUACACAGGGGGAUAACACCUGGAAACAGGUGCUUAUACCGCAUAAGCGCACAGGGCCGCAUGGCCCGGUGUGAAAAACUCCGGUGGUGUAAGAUGGACCCGCGUCUGAUUAGCUUGUUGGCGGGGUAGGGGCCCACCAAGGCGACGAUCAGUAGCCGGCCUGAGAGGGUGGACGGCCACAUUGGGACUGAGACACGGCCCAAACUCCUACGGGAGGCAGCAG